AUUGAACGCUGGCGGCAGGCCUAACACAUGCAAGUCGAACGAGCGGCGGACGGGUGAGUAAUGUCUGGGGAUCUGCCUGAUGGAGGGGGAUAACUACUGGAAACGGUAGCUAAUACCGCAUACUAUCAGAUGAGCCCAGAUGGGAUUAGCUAGUAGGUGGGGUAAAGGCUCACCAAGGCGACGAUCCCUAGCUGGUCUGAGAGGAUGACCAGCCACACUGGGACUGAGACACGGCCCAGACUCCUACGGGAGGCAGCAGUGGGGAAUAUUGCACAAUGGGCGCAAGCCUGAUGCAACCAUGCCGCGUGUAUGAAGAAGGCCUUAGGGUUGUAAAGUACUUUCAGCGGGGAGGCGUUACCCGCAGAAGAAGCACCGGCUAACUCCGUGCCAGCAGCCGCGGUAAUUC
rnacentral:rRNA from 1 species